CAUCGACCUAACACAUGACAAGGUACGGAACGGGGCAGACAACUACCCUAGGUGGACGGACGGGUAGAGUAACACAUAAGCAAUCUGCCUUCACAGGGGAUAACAGCGGGAAACUGCUGCUAAUACCGCAUAAGACCACGGUACCGCAUGGUACAGGGGUAAAAACGAAUCAGUGGUGAAGGAUGAGCUUAUGUCCCAUUAGCUAGUUGGUGAGAUAACAGCCCACCAAGGCGACGAUGGUAGCCGACCUGAGAGGGUGAUCGGCCACACUGGAACUGAGACACGGUCCAGACUCCUACGAGAGGCAGCAGUGGGGAAUAUUGGGCAAUGGAAGGAAACUCUUACCCAGCAAUGCCGCGUGAGUGAAGAAGGUCUUCGGAUUGUAAAGCUCUUUGAUUGGGGACGAAGAAAGUGACGGUACCCAAAGAACGAGCCCCGGCUAACUACGUGCCAGCCGCCGC
rnacentral:rRNA from 1 species